rnacentral:rRNA from 1 species
GAGUUUGAUCAUGGCUCAGAGCGAACGCUGGCGGCAUGCUUAACACAUGCAAGUCGCACGGUCAGCAAUGGCAGUGGCGGACGGGUGAGUAACACGUAGGAAUCUAUCUCUGGGUGGGGGACAACAGUGGGAAACUACUGCUAAUACCGCAUGAUACCUGAGGGUCAAAGGCGUAAGUCGCCUGGAGAGGAGCCUGCGUCUGAUUAGCUUGUUGGUGGGGUAAAGGCCUACCAAGGCUACGAUCAGUAGCUGGUCUGAGAGGAUGAUCAGCCACAUUGGGACUGAGACACGGCCCAAACUCCUACGGGAGGCAGCAGUGGGGAAUAUUGGACAAUGGGCGAAAGCCUGAUCCAGCAAUGCCGCGUGUGUGAAGAAGGUCUUCGGAUUAUAAAGCACUUUUGGCAGGGACGAUGAUGACGGUACCCGCAGAAUAAGCCCCGGCUAACUUCGUGCCAGCAGCCG